GGGAAGGAACAGAAAGACAGAGUUAUUUUUAGGAAGCGAAUUGUAGUAAAAAUGUUGGUAUUCCCACUAUGUAAAAACCAAAACUACGAGUAUGUUUGGGUGUAAUCCUCUACUAAAGCAUGUCAGGGGAAAAGAGAAUGUUAUUCAUAGCUUUAAUGGGCUUUCUUCUUCUCUAAGGAUGUUUCCUGAGUGCAUAGGACCAUGGAAACGUUCCUGCCAGGUAGAGGAAGGCAGCUCUGCAAUAAAUACCCACGUGCACACCCUACCCCAGCAAGUCACAAGUUUCCCAAUGGAAACGGGGAGCUCUGCAUCUCUGUAUCCUCUUUGGUCUGAAUGUUCUCAGCUCCUGCCAGUGCUGAUCUGCCAAUGACUACAAGUUGUGGUGAGGUGCCACAUUACUGUACCUCACGUUUCUUUGACCCUUGCUCCUCAAUAUCCAUAGGAGGAAAGAAGGACGACCAUUCCUGCUCUUCCCAGGAAAUCUUUAUGUGCUACCCACUGGGACAAACUUUGAUCCGGAUCCAGACCACCACAGUAUCUCCUAAAACCACCUCUAGAGUUGGCCUUGGAAGCGUCAGGGAGAUGUAGGACAAGAGACAAACAGAGCCACCUUGGUUGCUACGAAUUAAAGGGCUGCCCAGUGACUCCAUCCCCGUCUCCUCCGGGAGAGGUCUGCAGGCAAGCCGAGAUGUGGAGGUCAAAAGACAGGAGGGAACAGGGAACAAACCUUGGGAAGUCCUCGUCUUGCCACUCCUCCUUCACAUCCACGUUUUCCAUCCGCAAAGUGGCCUCUGUGGUCCCCAUGGUGCUCAGAGAGGGGCCGGCUGCACAGCAGGUCCCUUGGGGAAGGGCUUGGGCUGGAAGGUGGAAGGCAGAGGUUGGCACCAAACCAUUCAGAGCAGCAAUUCCCGACUGCUGCUCCUGGUUUGUUCUCCAUCCCCACACUUGUCCCUGCACCCUGAGAGAAACGGGGCUGAGGGCUCAGGACCAGCUCUGGUCAGAGGGAGCAGGUAGGCUGGAUGCUGCUGUGGCUGAGCUUAGCUGCACCUGAGUCUGGAGGGGACAAGGUCAGGCCUUAUCCUGUACAGAACUCGCUGAUGUGAAACCAGCACGUGCAUUAACCCACUGCAGUCAAAGGAGAUACCUUGGGGCUGAGAGAGACCCCACCUUCCCUCCCUCCUCCCCACCGCUGUCAUCUGCUUUCUGCUAACCCUGAACGCAUCAUGGAGGGAGGAAGAGAAAGGAAAGGUAUGAAGCAAAUCUCAGGCUGGAGUGGGAUGUUCCUCAGUAUCAGACAUCACCCAGCAGUAUGGAAGCCCAGAUGAUGCUGUACUCACCAGUGCC